GUGAGUCGAGAGUCUUCGGGACUCGGCAGACGGCUCAGUAACACGCGGAUAAUCUGCCCUUGGGUGGGGAAUAAUCUCGGGAAACUGAGCAUAAUACCCCAUAGGCCUGAGAUGCUGGAACGCCCUCAGGCUAAAAGCUCCGGCGCCCAAGGAUGAGUCUGCGGCCUAUCAGCUUGUAGUUGGUGUAAAUGACCAACUAGGCGACGACGGGUACGGGCAUUGGGAGAUGUAGCCCGGAGAUGGACUCUGAGACACGAGUCCAGGCCCUACGGGGCGCAGCAGUCGCGAAAACUUCACAAUGUGGGAAACCGCGAUGAGGGGAUUCCAAGUGCUUGCGUUUUGCGUAAGCUGUUCUCCUGCCUAAAAAGCAGGGGGAGUAAGGGCUGGGUAAGACGGGUGCCAGCCGCCGCGGUAAUACCCGCAGCCCAAGUGGUGGUCGAUAUUAUUGAGCUUAGAGCGUCCGUAGCCUGUCUGGUAAAUUCUUGGGUAAAUCGUGCAGCUUAACUGUCCGAAUUCCGGGGAGACUGCCAGACUUGGGACCGGGAGAGGUUGGAGGUACUCCUGGGGUAGGGGUAAAAUCCCGUAAUCCUGGGAGGACCAUCAGUGGCGAAGGCGUCCAACUGGAACGGAUCCGACGGUCAGGGACGAAGCCCUGGGUCGCGAACUGGAUUAGAUACCCAGGUAGUCCAGGGUGUAAACGCUGCAGACUUGGUGUCGGAGGUCCUA
rnacentral:rRNA from 1 species